UACGGGGGGGGCAAGCGUUGUUCGGAAUUACUGGGCGUAAAGGGCUCGUAGGUGGCCAACUAAGUCAGACGUGAAAUCCCUCGGCUUAACCGGGGGAACUGCGUCUGAUACUGGAUGGCUUGAGUUUGGGAGAGGGACGCGGAAUUCCAGGUGUAGCGGUGAAAUGCGUAGAUAUCUGGAGGAACACCGGUGGCGAAGGCGGCGUCCUGGACCAACACUGACACUGAGGAGCGAAAGCCAGGGGAGCAAACGGGG
rnacentral:rRNA from 1 species